rnacentral:lncRNA from 12 species
UACCUCUGCCAUCUUCAAUAUUUCUUUCCUAUCACAUGACAGUAACAGAAGGAAAUAACAUUAACAUGAAAUUUUGAGAACAUAAUUUAUUUACAGAAAGAUAAAAAAUAUCAAUGAAAAAAACAAGAGUUCUGCUCUACCCCUGAAUUUUAAAUCUCACAAAAUUGGUAUGAUUCCAAUUAUCUACAAUUUACAUCUAUUUUCACUUGAUCUCAUCUGUUCUUCAAUGAAAAAGCAAUAAAACACCUCAGCCAUCCCAACCCUGCCCCAUGUAGAGACAGUCACCACUGAUUACUGUUUAAUUUCUUUGAGUAAUGAACACCUUCACUCCAUGUGAUAUCAUUGAUAUAAGGAAGGAACUCAUAACAGUCUACUUUAGCUGAAUGCUCUGCUCUAUGGUACAAGCUGAAAAUAUAUUCUUAAAUCCUCUUACUGUGAGGUCUCAACAUGUGAACACACUGCAGCCUCCCAUCCACUAACGCUCAGGAAUUUUCUUAUAUCCUCUACCAAUUCCGGUUUUCUUAAAUUCAGUAGUUUAAUUAAGAAAUAAAUAAAAUUUAUUUAAUUUACAAUGACAGUAAUAUGAAAAUUGUAAUAACAAAAUAAGCCAAAAAUAUGAAAACUUCUAUGAAAGAUGUAAUAAAAAUCAAUUGAAAGACAUAAAGAAGGGUAAAAUAAGUGUAUAUAAAUAAUCCUGGGGGCACCUGGGUGCCUCAGUCAGUUGAGCAUCAGCCUUCGGCUCAGGUAAUAAUCCUGGGGGGGGGGGAGCCAAAACCACCACCAGCUCCACCUUCUUUAAUUGCCUGCUCUCCUCCUUUGUCAUAUAAUUCCCUUUUCUUUGCAUCAGAGAGCACUUCAUAAGCUUGAGAAAUCUGUUUAAACUUCUCUCCUUCAUUUGGAUUCUUAUCAGGGCGGUACUUCAAGACCAGUUUUCUGUAAGCCUUUUUCAAUUCCUCCCGGGUGGCAUUGGGUUUGGCCCCAAAACAUCAUAGUAAGUGGUUUCUUUCACCAUUUUCUACAGCCGGUGAGAAGGCCGAAGCCGGUGGGGGGGAGCGGGAAGGCGCGCGUUGCUGGGCGCAGCUCCGGCAGCCGCCGCUCCUCCGCGUCUCACCGAGCGUUCUGGAAAGUUCCGCCUUGCUCUGACUUUGCCCUGUGA